UACGAAGGAUCCUAGCGUUGUCCGGAAUUAUUGGGCGUAAAGAGCUUGUAGGCGGUUUGUCGCGUCUGCUGUGAAAUUUCGGGGCUCAACCCCGAACUUGCAGUGGGUACGGGCAGACUAGAGUGCGGUAGGGGAGACUGGAAUUCCUGGUGUAGCGGUGAAAUGCGCAGAUAUCAGGAGGAACACCGGUGGCGAAGGCGGGUCUCUGGGCCGUAACUGACGCUGAGGAGCGAAAGCGUGGGGAGCGAACAGG
rnacentral:rRNA from 1 species